CAGGGAGACAACAAAAUGUUUAAUAUUAUUUGUCACCUAGGUCGAUCGGUAUCUCACGUUGUACUAUGUUAAGAAGAUCAUUUUUAAGUUUUUCUAGGUCACACCCAUCAUUUUUCCUGGGCCAUUAGCUCAGGUGGUUAGAGCGCACCCCUGAUAAGGGUGAGGUCCUUGGUUCAAGUCCAGGAUGGCCCAUAUCUUUAUGAUGGGGGUAUAGCUCAGCUGGUAGAGCGCCUGCUUUGCAAGCAGGAUGUCAUCGGUUCGAGUCCGCUUACCUCCACUGAUUACCACCUCUUCCAUAAUCGGUAGAAAGGAAAUGUUUUGAGUUGUGAUCAUUAUUCUGAACGAAUCUAGCUUCUUAAUGAAAGCAUUAAGAUGCUGGACUCAUUGAAUUAAUUUCAUUGUUUUCAGAGAACCUUGACAACUGCAUAGAUUAUUUUUAAAGACAAUAAGCAUCUUUAAUGAUGCAGAUUUAUUAUUUGUGCGAAUGCAUUAAUAACAAUUCUAUUAAGCUGAUGCUUCAA
rnacentral:tRNA from 1 species